AUGUUCACGUUCUACCAGCAUUCUGGGAAGAGGAAAGCCCUUGAUGAGGGCCCUUGGAUGUUCAACAACUCGCUCCUGGUGGUGGAAGACUUUGAUCCAGCGAAGAGUACCAAAGACUAUAAGUUCAUAACAGUCCCGAUCUGGGUGCGGGUCUUUGAUCUUCCGUUGGGGAUGAUGUGUCGAGAGGCGGGACUAGCAAUUGGAGACAUUGUGGAGGAGGCCCUAGAGGUCAAUGCAGGCUCCGAUGGGAUGGCGGUUGGCAAGUUCCUGAGGGUGAAAAUUCGCAUGGACAUCACAAAACCCAUUAUGCGUGGUUUUGUCCUGAAGAAGGAGGACGGCGAGGCACAAGACCAUGAUGAAAAAAAUGAGAGGGAGAAGGAAGGGCAGGAGGAGGAUAAAUGGUGUAGAUUUGAGUAUGAAUUUCUCCCAGAUUUCUGUUACAUCUGUGGUAUGCUUGAUCAUGUAGACAAGGACUGCUCCUAUAAGCUAAAGAAGGGAGAAACAAACAAUUUGGCCCGUGGAUGA
rnacentral:rRNA from 1 species